rnacentral:rRNA from 1 species
GUCGAGCGGAUGAGAAGAGCUUGCUCYUGGAUUCAGCGGCGGACGGGUGAGUAAUGCCUAGGAAUCUGCCUGGUAGUGGGGGACAACGUUUCGAAAGGAACGCUAAUACCGCAUACGUCCUACGGGAGAAAGCAGGGGACCUUCGGGCCUUGCGCUAUCAGAUGAGCCUAGGUCGGAUUAGCUAGUUGGUGGGGUAAUGGCUCACCAAGGCGACGAUCCGUAACUGGUCUGAGAGGAUGAUCAGUCACACUGGAACUGAGACACGGUCCAGACUCCUACGGGAGGCAGCAGUGGGGAAUAUUGGACAAUGGGCGAAAGCCUGAUCCAGCCAUGCCGCGUGUGUGAAGAAGGUCUUCGGAUUGUAAAGCACUUUAAGUUGGGAGGAAGGGUAUUAAACUAAUACUUUGGUGUUUUGACGUUACCGACAGAAUAAGCACCGGCUAACUCUGUGCCAGCAGCCGCGGUAAUACAGAGGGUGCAAGCGUUAAUCGGAAUUACUGGGCGUAAAGCGCGCGUAGGUGGUUUGUUAAGUUGGAUGUGAAAGCCCCGGGCUCAACCUGGGAACUGCAUCCAAAACUGGCAAGCUAGAGUACGGUAGAGGGUGGUGGAAUUUCCUGUGUA